rnacentral:rRNA from 1 species
AUGGGGAUGAAGCGAUGCAUCGUUCCUAGCAUCCUGCUGAUGCUUGCAUUGCAGGCAGCCCUGCUCGUCGCCGGCGACGUGGGCGACAUUCUCCUGCCGAGCCAAGGCCAAGUUGCAGACGAAGCAGCCAUGGCGGCCAAGAAGAGGCCGUGGAAGUGCUGCGACCAGGCGGUGUGCACCCGCUCCGAACCGCCGAUCUGCCGCUGCAUGGACCAGGUUUUCGAGUGCCCCUCCACCUGCAAGUCCUGCGGGCCGUCCAUGGCCGACCCGUCCCGCCUCGUCUGCCAAGACCAGUACGUCGGCCUCCCCGGGCCCAUCUGCAGGCCGUGGGAGUGCUGCGACUCGCCUACGUGCACCAAGUCCAACCCGCCGACGUGCCGCUGCGGGGACGAGGUCGACGAGUGUGCUCCGACCUGCAAGACCUGCCUGCCGGCCAGGUCGCACCCUUCCCGCCGCGUCUGCAUCGACAGCUACUUUGGAGCCUUCCCUCCUGCGUGCACGCCGUCAGAGGCUGUUCCGCCGGUGUAA